CAUCUCUGCUUCAAAUGUCAGCUGCUCGAUUACGGAUACUCCAUCCUGCCCACUGGGGACUGAGUUACGCUGUGACACCGAGGACUGCUGCCCCCGCUGCCACUGUGCUCCUGUGAACGCCUGUGUUCUCAACCACACGCUGAUAGGGGCAGGGGAGCAGCUGAUGGUUGAUGCGUGUACACGCUGUCAGUGUAGGAUAGUGGAUGGUCCAAUCAGGAAAUAUGAACUGUCCUGCAGGAAAACAAGCUGUCCCUCUUGCCCCAUGGUAGCCAUCCUCAAAUUAUUUUGUCUGUUUUAACUCUUGUC